ACAGUAAAUCUAUUGUUCCUUUAAUUCUUAUGGAAGCACAAUCACUGUUUUAAUUCUUUCCCAUGUAACUUUUUCACCAAAGGUGGUCCAACAUCUUGGUCCAGCUAUGGAUUUUUAUAUGAAGUUGGCAUUGGACUGUUCAGGCCAACAGACUGCUGUGGAUUUAUUUCUCUUAAGUUCACAAUAUUCUGAUUUAGCUUCUCUUGCUUGCAUGUCCAAAUACUCUGCUGGGUGCAUCUAUUAUUAUCCGUCUUAUCAUCAUGUCCAUAAUCCUGCUCAGGCGGAAAAGUUGCAGAAAGACCUUAAAAGAUACCUUACGAGGAAGCUUGGUUUUGAGGCAGUUAUGCGCAUAAGAUGCACAAAAGGUCUUUCUAUACAUACUUUUCAUGGGAACUUUUUUGUACGAUCU